GGCCCAAUGGUCUAGAGGUAAGAUACUUGCUUUGGGAGUUGCCACUUAGAUUCUUCUUGCAAGGGAUCCCGGGUUCGAUCCCCGGUUGGGCCC
rfam:Daedalea quercina L-15889 unplaced genomic scaffold DAEQTscaffold_147, whole genome shotgun sequence.